AGAGGGUGCGAGCGUUAAUCGGAAUUACUGGGCGUAAAGGGCGCGUAGGUGGGUGUAUAAGUUGGAUGUGAAAGCUCCGGGCUCAACCUGGACAGGCCAUCCAAAACUGUAUGCCUAGAGUGCAGUAGAGGUAAGCGGAAUUUCCGGUGUAGCGGUGAAAUGCGUAGAUAUCGGAAGGAACAUCAGUGGCGAAGGCGGCUUACUGGACUGAGACUGACACUGAGGCGCGAAAGCGUGGGGGAGCGAACAGGAUUAGAUACCCUGGUAGUCCACGCUGUAAACGAUGAGUACUAGCCGUUGGGUCCUGCGGGACUUAGUGGCGCAGCAAACGCGCUAAGUACUCCGCCUGGGAGUACGGCCGCAAGGCUA
rnacentral:rRNA from 1 species